UAAUACGGAGGGUGCAAGCGUUGUUCGGAAUUAUUGGGCGUAAAGGGCGUGUAGGUGGCAGUCCAAGUCUGGUGUGAAAGCCCACGGCUCAACCGUGGAACUGCAUUGGAAACUGGGCAGCUCGAGUGUUGGAGGGGGUCGCGGAAUUCCCGGUGUAGAGGUGAAAUUCGUAGAUAUCGGGAGGAACACCAGUGGCGAAGGCGGCGACCUGGCCAAUCACUGACACUGAGACGCGAAAGCGUGGGGAGCAAACAGGAUUAGAUACCCUGGUAGUCCACGCCGUAAACGAUGGGUGCUAGCCAUAUCGGGUGUUGACCCUUAGGUGUGGCGAAGCCAACGCGUUAAGCACCCCGCCUGGGGAGUACGGUCGCAAGAUUA
rnacentral:rRNA from 1 species